rnacentral:tRNA from 1 species
GGGGAUUUAGCUCAGUGGUAGAGCGCUUGCCUAGGAAGCGCAAGGCCCUGGGUUCGGUCCCCAGCCCCU